ACUAGUGUGAUAUAGUGGUUUGUGUAUUAGAUUAAGACUCUAGAGACCAGGGUUUGAAUCCCUGUUCAGCC